rnacentral:rRNA from 1 species
ACUCCUACGGGAGGCAGCAGUAGGGAAUCUUCCACAAUGGGCGCAAGCCUGAUGGAGCAACACCGCGUGAGUGAAGACGGGUUUCGGCUCGUAAAGCUCUGUUGUUAAAGAAGAACACGUAUGAGAGUAACUGUUCAUACGUUGACGGUAUUUAACCAGAAAGUCACGGCUAACUACGUGCCAGCAGCCGCGGUAAUACGUAGGUGGCAAGCGUUAUCCGGAUUUAUUGGGCGUAAAGAGAGUGCAGGCGGUUUUCUAAGUCUGAUGUGAAAGCCUUCGGCUUAACCGGAGAAGUGCAUCGGAAACUGGAUAACUUGAGUGCAGAAGAGGGUAGUGGAACUCCAUGUGUAGCGGUGGAAUGCGUAGAUAUAUGGAAGAACACCAGUGGCGAAGGCGGCUACCUGGUCUGCAACUGACGCUGAGACUCGAAAGCAUGGGUAGCGAACAGGAUUAGAUACCCUGGUAGGAUAGCG